CGAGUCGUUAUGGACGCGAUGACAGACGUUGGGAGAUUAUCCCACUUCGCACAAUUAAUCGGAGUCAAUUGUUGAUAUUAAGCUCAUUUCAUUAUAAGGGACGGCGCGAACGCAGUCCCAGCUACCAAAAAUUAUGCGUCCGAGGUAUCCACAUUAGGGAUACUCGCAGGGGUCAACCCAGUCGAUGUGCAAUGACCGGGCCUCGCCCUGGAGGAACCGCCUAUUUGAUCACGGUUGACCUCCACGCCAGGUAAGUAUGCU